rnacentral:pre_miRNA from 1 species
UGAUGAACUAACUUAGUGCAGAUUGAGAGUUCCAAAGGGAUCGCAUUGAUCUAAUCAUGAUGAUAUAGAGAGCAUCUUCCACCAGCUAAUUAGUUAGAUCAUGCGAUCCCUUUCGAAUUCUCCAUCUCUGCUUCUAAACUCCACAUCA